rnacentral:rRNA from 1 species
ACUCCUACGGGAGGCAGCAGUAGGGAAUCUUCCACAAUGGGCGAAAGCCUGAUGGAGCAACGCCGCGUGAGUGAAGAAGGAUUUCGGUUCGUAAAACUCUGUUGUAAGGGAAGAACAAGUACAGUAGUAACUGGCUGUACCUUGACGGUACCUUAUUAGAAAGCCACGGCUAACUACGUGCCAGCAGCCGCGGUAAU